AAUCCGGUUGAUCCUGCCGGACUCGACCGUUAUCAGAGUGAGAUUAAGCCAUGCAAGUCGUAUAUCACCAGUUGCGGUGGUAUGGCGUACGGCUCAGUAGUAUAUAGUUAACUCACCCUAAGGAUGUGGAUAAUCCCGGGAAACUGGGGCUAAUCCGCAAUUGGUAUUAAUAUCUGGAAUGAUAUAAUGCUAAAAUGAGCAUAUAGGCUCACUUUAUAUGCUCGCCUUAGGACAGGACUAUACCCGAUCAGGUAGUUGGCGGGGUAAUGGCCCACCAAGCCGGUGACCGGUACGGGCUCUGAGAGGAGGAGCCCGGAGAUGGGCACUGAGACAAGGGCCCAGGCCCUAUGGGGCGCAGCAGGCGCGAAACCUUCACAAUGCGCGCAAGCGUGAUGAGGUUACUCUGAGUGUCGUCCGCUGAGGACGUCUUUUGUCGGGCCUAAAAAGCCUGAAGAAUAAGGGGAGGGCAAGACUGGUGUCAGCCGCCGCGGUAAUACCAGCUCCCCGAAUGGUCGAGACGAUUAUUGGGCCUAAAGCAUCCGUAGCCGGCCCUGUGGAUGAUCCGUCAAAUCCAACGACUCAAUCGUUGAACAGCGGAUUAUAUCGCAGGGCUAGGGGGCGGGAGAGGUGAGGAGUACUCCACGGGUAGGGGUAAAAUCCGCUGAUCCGUUGAAGACUAACAGUGGCGAAGGCGCCUCGCCAGAACGCGCUCGACGGUGAGGGAUGAAAGCUAGGGGAGCAAACCGGAUUAGAUACCCGGGUAGUCCUAGCCGUAAACGAUGCUUGCUAGGUGCUGGAAGGGCUAAGUGCUUUUCCAGUGCCGCAGGGAAGCCGUUAAGCAAGCCGCCUGGGGAGUACGGUCGCAAGGUUGAAACUUAAAGGAAUUGGCGGGGGAGCACCACAAGGGGUGAAGCCUGCGGUUCAAUUGGAGUCAACGCCCGGAACCUUACCAGGGGUGACAGCAGUUUGAUGGUCAAGCUAAAGACUUUACCUGACAAGCUGAGAGGAGGUGCAUGGCCGUCGCCAGCUCGUGCUGUGAAGUGUCCUGUUAAGUCAGGCAACGAGCGAGACCCCUGCUAUUAAUUGCUACGCGCUUCCGUAAGGUAGCGUAAGGUAAUUAAUGGGACUGCCGUCGCUAAGACGGAGGAAGGAGGGGGCUACGGCAGGUCAGUAUGCCCCGAAACCCCUGGGCCACACGCGGGCUGCAAUGGUAGGGACAAUGAGAUCCAAGCUCGAAAGAGUGUGGUAAUCUCCAAACCCUAUCUCAGUUGGAAUUGAGGGCUGCAACCCGCCCUCAUGAACAUGGAAUCCCUAGUAAUCGCACGUCACCAGCGUGCGGUGAAUACGUCCCCGCUCCUUGCACACACCGCCCGUCGCUCCAUCCGAGUUGGCUUUUGGCGAGGUGGUAUCAUAUUGGUAUUAUCGAACCAGUUGUCGAUAAGGGGGGAGAAGUCGUAACAAGGUGGCCGUACGGGAACGUGCGGCCGGAUCACCUCCA
rnacentral:rRNA from 1 species